AUUGAACGCUGGCGGCAGGCCUAACACAUGCAAGUCGAGCGCGCGGCGGACGGGUGAGUAAUGUCUGGGAAACUGCCUGAUGGAGGGGGAUAACUACUGUAAACGGUAUCUCAUACCGCAUACCAUCAGAUGUGCCCAGAUGGGCUUGGCUAGUAGGUGGGGUAACGGCUCACCUGGGCGACGAUCCCUAGCUGUUCUGAGAGGAUGACCAGCCACACUGGAACUGAGACACGGUCCAGACUCCUACGGGAGGCAGCAGGGGGGAAUAUUGCACAAUGGGCGCAAGCCUGAUGCAGCCAUGCCGCGUGUGUGAAGAAGGCCUUCGGGUUGUAAAGCACUUUCAGCGGGGAGGCGUUACCCGCAGAAGAAGCACCGGCUAACUCCGUGCCAGCAGCCGCGGUAAUUC
rnacentral:rRNA from 1 species